rnacentral:rRNA from 1 species
AACGGGUGGUAAUGCCGGAUGUUCCAGUUGAUCGCAUGGUCUUCUGGGAAAGCUUUCGCGGUAUGGGAUGGGGUCGCGUCCUAUCAGCUUGACGGCGGGGUAACGGCCCACCGUGGCUUCGACGGGUAGCCGGCCUGAGAGGGCGACCGGCCACAUUGGGACUGAGAUACGGCCCAGACUCCUACGGGAGGCAGCAGUGGGGAAUAUUGCACAAUGGGCGCAAGCCUGAUGCAGCGACGCCGCGUGAGGGAUGGAGGCCUUCGGGUUGUAAACCUCUUUUAUCGGGGAGCAAGCGUGAGUGAGUUUACCCGUUGAAUAAGCACCGGCUAACUACGUGCCAGCAGCCGCGGUAAUACGUAGGGUGCAAGCGUUAUCCGGAAUUAUUGGGCGUAAAGGGCUCGUAGGCGGUUCGUCGCGUCCGGUGUGAAAGUCCAUCGCUUAACGGUGGAUCCGCGCCGGGUACGGGCGGGCUUGAGUGCGGUAGGGGAGACUGGAAUUCCCGGUGUAACGGUGGAAUGUGUAGAUAUCGAAAAAAAACACC